GUAGGGAAUAUUGCACAAUGGGGGAAACCCUGAUGCAGCGACGCCGCGUGAGUGAUGAAGGCCUUCGGGUCGUAAAGCUCUGUCGUAUGGGACUAACAAAAUGAAGGUACCAUGCAAGAAAGGAUCGGCUAACUUCGUGCCAGCAGCCGCGGUAAGACGAGGGAUCCUAGCGUUGUUCGGAAUUAUUGGGCGUAAAGCGGGUGUAGGCGGGCCUGUCAGUCAGGUGUGAAAUCCCAGGGCUUAACCCUGGAAGUGCACUUGAUACUGCAGGUCUUGAGUGUGGUAGAGGCUAUUAGAAUUCUUGGUGUAGUGGUGAAAUACGUAGAUAUCAAGAGGAAUACCGGAGGCGAAGGCGGAUAGCUGGGCCAACACUGACGCUGAGACCCGAAAGCGUGGGGAUCAAACAGGAUUAGAAACCCGGGUAGUCC
rnacentral:rRNA from 1 species